rnacentral:rRNA from 1 species
GUCGAGGGGUAUGCUUCUUCGGAAGUAGAGACCGGCGCACGGGUGCGUAACGCGUAUGCAAUCUACCUUUUACAGAGGGAUAGCCCAGAGAAAUUUGGAUUAAUACCUCAUAGCAUAGCAGGUUGGCAUCAUCCCAGUAUUAAAGUCACAACGGUGAAAGAUGAGCAUGCGUCCCAUUAGCUAGUUGGUAAGGUAACGGCUUACCAAGGCUACGAUGGGUAGGGGUCCUGAGAGGGAGAUCCCCCACACUGGUACUGAGACACGGACCAGACUCCUACGGGAGGCAGCAGUGAGGAAUAUUGGACAAUGGGCGCAAGCCUGAUCCAGCCAUGCCGCGUGCAGGAUGACGGUCCUAUGGAUUGUAAACUGCUUUUAUACGAGAAGAAACACUACUUCGUGAAGUAGCUUGACGGUAUCGUAAGAAUAAGGAUCGGCUAACUCCGUGCCAGCAGCCGCGGUAAUACGGAGGAUCCAAGCGUUAUCCGGAAUCAUUGGGUUUAAAGGGUCCGUAGGCGGUUUAAUAAGUCAGUGGUGAAAGCCCAUCGCUCAACGGUGGAACGGCCAUUGAUACUGUUAAACUUGAAUUAUUAGGAAGUAACUAGAAUAUGUAGUGUAGCGGUGAAAUGCUUAGAGAUUACAUGGAAUACC